GAACCUUCUCUGUUCUCACACAAAGCUUGCAGCUACGUCUCAAACCAAACCCUAAUUCAGAAAUUUUCUCUCUCUCUCUCUCACUCUCUCUCUCAUUCUCACAAAUAUUUGUGGAGGUAUGUUGGCAGAUGUUCGGGGGCAAUGAUACUGAAAACUACCUAUUUUCUGAGGGAAUAAAUUUCCCUAAUGAUUAUGAAAACAGUUCUUCUGGGUGCAAGCGAUGCUGCGUACCAAUUGCGUACCAACGGCCUACGUGGAGAACUUUGUCAGAGAAUAAAAAAAAAAUGUAAAAUGAAAGAAAAUGCAGAGAAUAGAAAGACGGAGGGAAAAAAAGGCAGCCCGCGUUCAAAUCCCCCAAAUCUAUUGAUCCCAACGCAUUAUCUCCCCCAAAUUUCUUCCUCAACGCAGGCAUCUCUCCCAAAUCUCCUUUGCGCGCGACGACGACGAGAUGGCGAGGCUCCUCUGCCGCGAGGGUCUCCUCUGCGCGCGACCGUGACGGUCUCCUCUGCGCGCGAGGACGACGAGAUGGCGAGGGUCUCCAUUGCGCGCAACCGCGAGGGUCUCCUCUGUGCGCGACUGCGACGGUCUCCUCUGUGCGCGACCGCGACGGGAUGGCGAGGGUCUCCUCUGCGUGCGACCGCGACGGUCUCCUCUGCGCGCGACAGCGACGGUCUUCUUUGUGUCGAUGAUCCCAGGAAGGGAUUGCUUAUGUCAUUGGCAGAGAGUCAGAAGAAUGUCUGUUGUAAAAAUCCCUUUUGCUCAAGUCGGGCUUCUUAUGGCAAUGUUGAGAGGUCAGCUGCAUGAUUAUUUAGCUUGUGCCUCUUCCUUCUAGCUAUCUGUAAUUUGCCUCAGCUGCAAUAUGCCUCAGUUGGCACGUGCAAUAAUUUAUUUGGGACUCAAGAGAGUGUUCCCGUUCAGUCGCCCCAAAACACUACCCAAGUGUUGGACUUUAGUGGAAUCCAGAUUGGCACGGCAGAGAUCGAGAUACAAGAAAGUAUGCAACUUGGGGUGGUGGAUGGAACCUAGCCAAAUAGCUUGUCUGGGACACAACUGUGGCUAUAAGUCAAUGUACUUGGAGAAGUUGGUUGGAUAGUUGUUUUAUUUUAGAAUGGAUGGGAAGUUGUUAAAAACAUGUUGAUAUAUUGUCAGAUGUAAAUAUAUUUUUUUUGGGACGAUUGAUGUUAAAUACAUGGAUGGGAAGUUGAUAAAAACAUGUUGAUAUUUUUAGCUCUUUUUUAUAUUCUUUUACUUGGAAGAUGUUGCAAGGGAAGUUUGUGAAAUUAGGGACUUGAAUGAAGUUCAGAGUUUAUGA